rnacentral:sRNA from 1 species
AUCGGCAGUCGUAGACUCCGGUUCCUCCGCGCCGUCCGCACGGACCUGACGACCGCUCGCGACGUUCUGUUAGCC